rnacentral:rRNA from 1 species
AUUGAACGCUGGCGGCAGGCCUAACACAUGCAAGUCGAACGGUAACAGGAAACAGCUUGCUGUUUCGCUGACGAGUGGCGGACGGGUGAGUAAUGUCUGGGAAACUGCCUGAUGGAGGGGGAUAACUACUGGAAACGGUAGCUAAUACCGCAUCACGUCGCAAGACCAAAGAGGGGGACCUUCGGGCCUCUUGCCAUCGGCUGUGCCCAGAUGGGAUUAGCUAGUAGGUUGGGUAACGGCUCACCUAGGCGACGAUCCCUAGCUGGUCUGAGAGGAUGACCAGCCACAAUGGAACUGAGACACGGUCCAGACUCCUACGGGAGGCAGCAGUGGGGAAUAUUGCACAAUGGGCGCAAGCCUGAUGCAGCCAUGUCGCGUGUAUGAAGAAGGCCUUCGGGUUGUAAAGUACUUUCAGCGGGGAGGAAGGGAGUGAAGUUAAUACCUUUGCUCAUUGACGUUACCCGCAGAAGAAGCACCGGCUAACUCCGUGCCAGCAGCCGCAGUAA